GUCGCAUUAGCUAGUUGGUGAGGUAACGGCUCACCAAGGCAACGAUGCGUAGCCGACCUGAGAGGGUGAUCGGCCACACUGGGACUGAGACACGGCCCAGACUCCUACGGGAGGCAGCAGUAGGGAAUCUUCCGCAAUGGACGAAAGUCUGACGGAGCAACGCCGCGUGAGUGAUGAAGGCUUUCGGGUCGUAAAACUCUGUUGUUAGGGAAGAACAAGUGCUAGUUGAAUAAGCUGGCACCUUGACGGUACCUAACCAGAAAGCCACGGCUAACUACGUGCCAGCAGCCGCGGUAAUACGUAGGUGGCAAGCGUUAUCCGGAAUUAUUGGGCGUAAAGCGCGCGCAGGUGGUUUCUUAAGUCUGAUGUGAAAGCCCACGGCUCAACCGUGGAGGGUCAUUGGAAACUGGGAGACUUGAGUGCAGAAGAGGAAAGUGGAAUUCCAUGUGUAGCGGUGAAAUGCGUAGAGAUAUGGAGGAAAACCAGUGGCGAAGGCGACUUUCUGG
rnacentral:rRNA from 1 species